CCCCCCCCCCUCUUCUCCCGCAGGAUCGAGUGCUCGCCGCCCUGGCUUGGGGAUUGGGGCACCACGGGGGAUUUACCGGCGCGCUCCUCCCCCUGAUCGACCAAUCUCCCGACACCUCAGCUGUCCGAGUCCCCGGCGAACUCGCACCCCAGAUCUCUUCCGUAAAAUUCUGCCGUGGCGGUUCUCCCUCCCCUACUUCCCGAGAUCUCCAGCACCGCUCCUGGCCUCCCCUACAUCACAAGCUCACUGGGGCCUACAAAUCUUGGUUCCCCUUCUAGGGAGAGGAGAGGGAGGACGUGUGUGUGUGGUGCUGGGCGGAUGGGGUUUCUGCAUUCAGUGCUCCCGGCCAUGCGCCUCCUCCACCACCUAUACCGUGCACGGUAGUGGUCACAUCCAUGCUGCUGGGCAGCGCAAAAUGCUACACUGGUGCUCAAGUCUGAGGCGAAACUCCUACGGUGCACACAGCUUUACUUUAAGACAUCCAUAGGUGUACAGAGAGAUGGGGUGCGGCAGCUGAUAUGAUCUAUCAGUACCAAACACCAGUGACCAAGGUGAACCUAUCUACUGCUAGGUUAUUGGUAAGCCUACUGCUGGGUUGCUAACUAGCUACUGCUAAGUCUACUAAGUUACUGCUAAUUUGCUGCUAUGUUGCUACUAAGUUGCGGCCACAAACACCUCUGUUUGGGUUGUUUUUGCAUCUGGUUUGGGGUCCAACAAAAGGUCUGGCUAUUUAACUAAGUUGCUGCUGCAACCCUCCCUGUUGUUUCCAAGAUCAAUGUUAGUUGAAUGGUAAUAUGCACUAAGUUGUUUUAUUCAGCAUACUUAAGUUGUUUCCAUCAUUUUAAUCUAAGUUUUGAUGUACUAUCAAAUUCCCCUAAGUAGUAUGCUGAUUUAAUUAAGUUGCUUUUUGCUAUCGCACUAAGUUGUUAUUUCGUGAAAAUUAAGUUGUACAUUAAUGAUUUUAAACGAAGUUACCUUUUUUCAUCCCCUCAGUUGUAUACUGAAUAUAAUUAAGUUGUUUUAUUCAGCAUAUUUGAAUUGUUUCCAUCAUUUAAUCUAUGUUGUUUAAUUACCCCGUUCUCAAACCACUUUGUUACUACGAGAUGAUUUGUGUGUUAUCUGCACGUACAUGGGUAGU